GAUAUUUCAUUAAACCUUUAGCAACCUCACGAGCUAUAAAUGUAGAUGUAGCAGCAAAAUUAGUUUGAUGAACUAAACGAGGAGCAGUAGCAUAAUAUGUCAUUCUCCACAGAGAGCCAUGUUUCACUAAGAAGUUGUAACUCCGUGGCAAUUGAUUGAAAGGCCAGGGUGUAUGUUCUGUCCACAAAUCAGUAAUAAACACCUGAUAUUUAUCUCCAUAUUCUUCAUUGAAUGCUGCCCUAAUAGCUUCAGCAGAUGCUCUGUGACCACCACCAGUAUCACUCAUCAAAAUAAGAACCUUUUUUGAAGGUUCU
rnacentral:misc_RNA from 1 species